rnacentral:rRNA from 1 species
UACGUAGGGUGCAAGCGUUAAUCGGAAUUACUGGGCGUAAAGCGUGCGCAGGCGGUUUUGUAAGUCUGUCGUGAAAGCCCCGGGCUUAACCUGGGAAUUGCGAUGGAGACUGCAAGGCUUGAAUCUGGCAGAGGGGGGUAGAAUUCCACGUGUAGCAGUGAAAUGCGUAGAGAUGUGGAGGAACACCGAUGGCGAAGGCAGCCCCCUGAGUCAAGAUUGACGCUCAUGCACGAAAGCGUGGGGAGCAAACAGG